rnacentral:lncRNA from 1 species
CAGCCUCAAAGCAAAAUUCCAGGACAGAAAGAGGCCGAUUGGGAUCAGUCUGAGUCCGAUUUCCACCGCUGGCCCGAUUCAGCCGCGGGUGUGGUGGGGUGUCCAGGGAGCGCUGACCCGGCACGAGGCCAGACGGCGACAGGAACGCCCGGGGACGGCACGCAUGGUCCCAGGGCCAGGCGACACCCGGAUGGCUUCCCCUGCACGUGGACUGCGGGAAAAAUCCAAUCUCCGACCUUUCUGCGUGAGGCCAGCGGGGACGCCUUCCCUUCUAGAGUGUCACUGUUUGGGUUCACCCGAGGGUCUCUGUGGAGGGAUAGCUCGUUGUGUCAGUUCCUUCUUCAUCCACCACCCACCUGCCGGAGGGAGGGAGUCCUCAGCGCUUUACAUUUUCAAACUCUCAAAACGCAACGUAAACCUCUUGCAGCAUCACCUUGCCUCGGAGGCAAUUGUCACGUACAAACAUCAUGCCUUUCUCCUAAGAUUUUCAACUCUCAGUCACGGGUGCGCUGCGCAGUCUAUGCCCCCGUCCCAUUCAGCGCGCUCGCGAAGCACCGUCGCUCUAACUCAGACAGGGCUCCCGGGAGGCCCCGUGUUUGUCUUCUCGGAAGGCCAUGGCUCUCGGGGUCACCGGAUCCCGCUCGCAGACAUGACUUUCCAGCAACUACUCCAAGCUGUGUAAUCCUGCCCGCUUGCUCCCACGGGCGAUGGCGCCAGAAAGGCCACCCCACCCCCGGGCCCUGGACGGGCUGCGUCCGCGGGGGCUUCUCGGACUUAGUUCCCCCAGUACAUGUACUUGUUCAUGGGACAUGUGCGUGCUGGGCACCUGUGACGUGCCGGGAGCUGGGGAAAGACCCAGAGAUAAAGCUGGGAGCCGUCACUGUCCUCGAACCACUGUCCCUCACGUGUGGCAGGAGAUCCGGAUGCAUUAACGGGCGUUCACACCGAGAAGGACUAAGAUGUGGGCCCGGCAGGUACUUCUGGACGGCUAGAAGGACGUGUCUGGGUGGGGGAGGGGGGCCUCACAGAGCAGCAUCGAAGCCGAAACCCGAGGGCACUGGGUGGUGA